rnacentral:rRNA from 1 species
UGAUACUAAGCCAUGCGAGUCAUUGUAGUAAUACAGGGCAGACGGCUCAGUAACGCGUAGUCAACCUAACCUAUGGACGGGGAUAACCUCGGGAAACUGAGAAUAAUACCCGAUAGAACAUUAUGCCUGGAAUGGUUUAUGUUUCAAAUAAUUUAUUGCCGUAGGAUGGGACUGCGGCCUAUCAGUUUGUUGGUGAGGUAAUGGCCCACCAAGACUAUUACAGGUACGGGCUCUGAGAGGAGUAGCCCGGAGAUGGGUACUGAGACACGGACCCAGGCCCUAUGGGGCGCAGCAGGCGAGAGAACUUUGCAAUGUGCGAAAGCACGACAAGGUUAAUCCGAGUGGUUUCUGCUAAAGGAACCUUUUGCCAGUCCUAGAAACACUGGUGAAUAAGGGGUGGGCAAGUUCUGGUGUCAGCCGCCGCGGUAAAACCAGCACCUCAAGUGGUCAGGAUGAUUAUUGGGCCUAAAGCAUCCGUAGCCUGCUUUGUUAGUUUUCGGUUAAAUCCAUUCGCUCAACGAAUGGGCUGCCGGGAAUACUGCAAAGCUAGGGAGUGGGAGAGGUAGACGGUACUCGGUAGGAAGGGGUAAAAUCCUUUGAUCUAUUGAUGACCACCUGUGGCGAAGGCGGUCUACCAGAACACGUCCGACGGUGAGGGAUGAAAGCUGGGGGAGCAAACCGGAUUAGAUACCCGGGUAGUCCCAGCUGUAAACUAUGCAAACUCAGUGAUGCAUUGGCUUGAUGCCAAUGCAGUGCUGCAGGGAAGCCGUUAAGUUUGCCGCCUGGGAAGUACGUACGCAAGUAUGAAACUUAAAGGAAUUGGCGGGGGAGCACCACAAGGGGUGAAGCCUGCG